GGACCCGCACAAGUAGUGGAGCAUGUGGUUUAAUUCGAAGAUACGCGCAGAACCUUACCAACACUUGACAUGUUCGUCGCGACUCUAAGAGAUUAGAGUUUUCGGUUCGGCCGGACGAAACACAGGUGCUGCAUGGCUGUCGUCAGCUCGUGUCGUGAGAUGUUGGGUUAAGUCCCGCAACGAGCGCAACCCUCACUUUUAGUUGCCAUCAUUAAGUUGGGCACUCUGAAAGAACUGCCAGUGAUAAGCUGGAGGAAGGUGGGGAUGACGUCAAGUCCUCAUGGCCCUUACGUGUUGGGCUACACACGUGCUACAAUGGUAUCUACAAUGGGAAGCAAUAGGGUGACCUGGAGCUAAUCCCCAAAGGCCGUCUCAGUUCGGAUUGUUCUCUGCAACUCGAGAACAUGAAGUCGGAAUCGCUAGUAAUCG
rnacentral:rRNA from 1 species